GUCCCGAAGCGUGUGCUAAGUGGGAAAGGAUGUGGAGUCGCAUAGACAGCCAGGAGGUUGGCUCAGAAGCAGCCACCCUUGAAAGAGUGCGUAACAGCUCACUGGUCUAGUGGUUCCGCGCCGACAAUGUAGCGGGGCUCAAGCACACCACCGAAGACGCGGCAGUAUUUUGUACUGGGUAGGAGAGCGUCCCAUGAGGGGCGAAGCGGCCGUGUGAACGCGCCGUGGACUUCAUGGGAGUGAGAAUGCAGACAUGAGUAGCGAGAGACGGGUGAAGAUCCCGUCCGCUGGAUGACCAAGGGUUCCAGGGCCACGUUCAUCGUCCCUGGGUGAGUCGGGUCCUAAGGCGAGGCCGACAGGCGUAGUCGAAUGGAUGAACGGGUCGAUAUUCCCGUACCGGCUUUCAGCCGCCAAAACCGAGGCUUGGAGUACUAACCUCCGGGUCCGGGCUUACUGCUCCUUCGGGGGCGGGAUGCCCUGGCCUGUUGGGACCGAUCCUUGUAGUAGGUCAGCGCAGGAGUGACGCAGAAGGGUAGCCGGCCGCGGAGGUGGUCUUCCGUGGUCAAGCACGCAGGGCGUGGGACAGGCAAAUCCGUCCCGCAUGGGUCCGAGGUGCGAUGAUGGGGGCCUUAUGGCCCGAUAUCCGGUGAUCCCGGCUGCCGAGAAAAGCUUCGGCGUCAGGCUCGAAGCCGCCCGUACCCCAAACCGACACUGGUGGUCAGGUAGAGAAUACCAAAGCGAUCGAGCGAAUCCUGGUCAAGGAACUCGGCAAAUCACUCCCGUUCCUUCGGUUUAAGGGAGACCCCCGAUGGUGAACACACUUGCUGUGGGAGCUUUUGGGGGUGGCACAGACCAGGGGGUAGCGACUGUUUACCAAAAACACAGGUGCAUGCGAAGGCGCAAGCCGCUGUAUAUGCACUGACGCCUGCCCGGUGCCGGAAGGUUAAGAGGAUCCGUCAGCCUUCGGGUGAAGCGGUGAAUUCAAGCCCCGGUAAACGGCGGUGGUAACUAUAACCAUCCUAAGGUAGCGAAAUUCCUUGUCGGGUAAGUUCCGACCUGCACGAAUGGCGUAACGACUUCCCCACUGUCUCGACCAGGAGCUCGGCGAAAUUGCAGUACGAGUAAAGAUGCUCGUUAAGCGCAGAAGGACGAAAAGACCCCGGGACCUUUACUAUACCUUGGUAUUGGCAUUCGGUGUGGAUUGUGUAGCAUAGGCGGGAGGCCGAGAGGCGCGGUCGCCAGAUCGCGCGGAGCCGUAAGGUGAAAUACCGCUCUGUUCGCAUUGGAUGUCUAACCUCGAAAGUCAUCCUGUUCAGGGACAGUGCCUGGCGGGUAGUUUAACUGGGGCGGUUGCCUCCCAAAGAGUAACGGAGGCGCCCAAAGGUCCGCUCAGCCCGGUUGGCAAUCGGGUGGCGAGUGCAAGUGCACAAGCGGGCUUGACUGCGAGGACGACGGUCCGAGCAGGGACGAAAGUCGGGACUAGUGAUCCGGUGCCGGUGUACGGACGCGGCAUCGCUCAACGGAUAAAAGGUACCCCGGGGAUAACAGGCUGAUCAUUCCCAAGAGUCCAUAUCGACGGGAUGGUUUGGCACCUCGAUGUCGGCUCGUCGCAUCCUGGGGCUGGAGCAGGUCCCAAGGGUUCGGCUGUUCGCCGAUUAAAGCGGCACGCGAGCUGGGUUCAGAACGUCGUGAGACAGUUUGGUCUCUAUCCUCUGCGCUCGUUGGAAUGCUGAGGAGGCCUGCCCAUAGUACGAGAGGACCUGGGUGGACGAACCUCUGGUAUGCCGGUUGUCACGCCAGUGGCACGGCCGGUUGGCUACGUUCGGAAGGGAUAACCGCUGAAAGCAUCUAAGCGGGAAGCCUGCUCCAAGAUAAGCAUUCCGUGGAACCUUCGAGUUCCUGUAGUCCCCAUGCAGAACACGUGGUCGAUAGGCCGGACGUGGAAGCCCCGCGAGGGGUGGAGCCGACCGGUACUAACGGACGAAAGGCA
rnacentral:rRNA from 1 species